rnacentral:lncRNA from 1 species
CUGCUCCUCUACCUCGGCCUCCUGCUCCUCUACCUCGGCCUCUACGACCUCCUCUACGUACUUCUUCCCUUGGCGGCAUAAUUCCUAUUAUCCACCAACAACACUCUUUAACAAAAUCUUAAUCAUAAACAUAAGCAAGUCUUUAUCGUCAUGCAAUCUAGUUUAAUUUAGGCAAGGUCAUGCAAAUAAACCAUACAUAUAAGCAUCAAGCAUACCUGACGAGAGACGAAGGGUCGCGUUAGCCAUAGGAACACAAAAACAUAGACUUACAUCGUAAGUCAGUCUACAGAACCUAAAACUUAGGCUCUGAUACCAACUGUAACGACCCAAC